rnacentral:misc_RNA from 1 species
GGACUUAAAGCUUCAUUUUUAUUUAUUUUCAGAAAGUUUUCUCUUUUUCAAGAAAGUCAAGAACUGUUAGAAAAUGUUUUUAGUGAUUGUAAAAAAAAUGAAAAGUAUUUAAUUGGAAAGCCUCCAUUUUUUAGGCAAUUUUAAAGAGAUAUUUGGAACGCUAUUUUUCAAAGGUACAUUUUUUAAAUAGUUUUCCAAGUUCUGUUUUCAAUUUAGAAAACUGGACCAUGUUUACUUCAGUUUUUUCAUUUCCAGGAGAAAAUUUUCUAUUUUCAGUAAGGUAAACGUGUUUCCAUAUUUUAAUGGAAAUGUGCAUUAGAAAAUAAGGAUAAAAAUGGAGAAGAAAAUAUAUUCUUUUUUUUCCUCAAAGUGAACAAACCAUAUGUGUCUCUUUUAUUGGUAGACAUAUCAAUAUGGCCUAAACAUUCUCAGUAACAGUCUUCCUUUUCAGAU